GGGUGGGGUCGAAGCUGAUCUGAGCCUGAUGUUCUACGUUUGCCCCUGAUCACUGUGCCUGUGGUGAGAUGCCAUUCCUGUCAAGAUGACAACAUUGAAUUGGAGUGAAACCAGAGAAAGAAAAAAUAGAUAUAAAGGAACGCUAUGUGAGCAACAGUUUGAUGGAUGGGUAUUGCAUCUCCGUGACGGCGCUGACCUUGACGACUCGAGCCAGGCCAAAGUCAGCCACUUUGCAGGUGUAGUCCUCCCCCACCAGCACGUUGCGUGCGGCCAGGUCCCUGUGGAU